UUCUUUCUUAGAGUUUUGUCGAGAAGCACAAAGAAAUUGGCGAGAGAGAAUUCGGGGGUCGAGGGCAUGAUUUUCGAAGGCUCGUUCUUCCCUUUUCUUCUCUAUUUUCCAUUCACUAACACUCUGCUUGUGUGACCACCCUCUCCUUCUACGCCCCUCCCAAUCUCCCCUUUCCCCAACCUCAUCUUCGUCGACGCCGCUGGCUCCCUCGCCAUUUUUGACACGGAUGGCUUCGUCCAUCUUACCACGCUUUCCGUCCACCGCAACGCCGCUAUCAACAACCUCGCCCUGCACCCGUCCGGUGAGCGCGCCCUCACCGUUGCUCGUGACAGAUGCCUCGCCGUCGUCAACCUCGUCCGCGGCUACCGCAACUGCUGCUUGCGCCUCGACAAGGAAGUUACUCUGGUCAAGUUCAAUUCAUCCGGCGACCACUUUUUUAUGGCCACAAAGAAGAAGGUUUAUGUCCACCAGACUGAGGAUGCACACAUAUUGUUCGAAUUGGAAUGCUCUAAGCUCUUUCUCUGCGCUGCUCCUGCUAGGUUAUGUGAUUCUUCAAAUUCUUUCUUUGUUUUCUCGAAUUAUCAUCGAAUAUCAAGUUGGUUAUUUAUAUUUUCUCUGUUUCUUCUUUUGGUACUGCUGAUUUGUCUUGUAUGUUAAAAAAACCCUAGGGUUUAGGUAGCAUUUGAUAAAGAAAGUUUGGUAUAUUGUCACUAGUUAAGUUUUUCGGGCGUCUAAUACUUGUGAUGUUCUGCUGUGGGAAGAUUUUACACAGAUUUUGGAGACUAUUUGAAGCAUCAAUGAACCGUGAGAAGUUCCCAGAGAAGGAAGAUGUAAUAAAGCCUCUACUUGAUGUGACAGAAACAACUCUGCUUCACUACUGUAUGUAGUCUCUUAAGUUGAUGAGGUGCAACUGACUUGAGUUUUAAUUGCUUGUCAAGUGUGGAGGCUAUAGUAAAAAGGAACCUGGUGAAGUACUGACACUUCAGAAGCGAGUGUUAGCAGUGCUAAAUGAGGCAAGAAAGUCCGAUGGUCUUGGCUACUUGAAGUAUCCUUUGAUUUCAGAUAUCACCAAAUCCAUCUCGAAAUCUUUUGGUGUUCUCAUUCCAGAUCAGUAUUUUUCUAAUUGCAGAUGUCAACGCAGUAUUUUUCUAAUUGCAGAUGUCAACAAUGUCGUGACAAUCACAUUAUUGAAGUGAGGGAAGAUUGGUGUUACAUGUAAUUAGUACAUGCUUAUAGGUUAUGUUAUGAUGAUAUACAUUCUUAUAGUACUAAUAGGAUAUAUAUGUUAUCGUUG